rnacentral:rRNA from 1 species
UACGAAGGGAGCUAGCGUUGUUCGGAUUCAUUGGGCGUAAAGGGCGCGUAGGCUGCGGGGCAAGUCGGGUGUGAAAUCUCAGAGCUCAACUCUGAAACUGCACUCGAUACUGCUUUGCUUGAGGACUGGAGAGGAGAUUGGAAUUCACGGUGUAGCAGUGAAAUGCGUAGAUAUCGUGAGGAAGACCAGUGGCGAAGGCGGAUCUCUGGACAGUUCCUGACGCUGAGGCGCGAAGGCCGGGGGAGCAAACGGG